UACGUAGGGCGCAAGCGUUGUCCGGAAUUAUUGGGCGUAAAGAGCUCGUAGGCGGUUUGUCGCGUCUGUCGUGAAAGCUUGGGGCUUAACCCCAAGUCUGCGGUGGAUACGGGCAGACUAGAGGCAGGUAGGGGAGAACGGAAUUCCCGGUGUAGCGGUGAAAUGCGCAGAUAUCGGGAGGAACACCGGUGGCGAAGGCGGGUCUCUGGGCCGAUACUGACGCUGAGGAGCGAAAGCGUGGGGAGCGAACAGG
rnacentral:rRNA from 1 species